rnacentral:misc_RNA from 1 species
AAAAAAGUUACCGUCACGCGGUAAAAUUCUUCAGUCCUCACAGGCCUUCUACUUUUUCACACGUGUAAGUACCGUCACCUCACAGUCACGUUUCUGUACUUCAUUUGUUUAUCUCUCUGUCUUUGUCCUUUCCGUUUCCUUUUCUCUCUACUGUGUAGCGGUCAGCAUCGAAAGAGGAUAUGUGACGAAGACGAGACCCACUCCUGACGUUACACGUGUUUUUUAAAUAAGAAAAAUCGCGAGUGCAUAAUUUGGUAUAUAAUUUGGAUCUACCUCAGCAAUAAGCAUCUUUGUUCUUCGAUUCUGGGCAUCUCUUAUCAGAUCCCACCACCCACUUGCUUCAUCCAACGGCUCUCCUUCCAUCUUACCUGCCUUUAUAUCCCCAUUUUCUCUCCUCGCCUCAUUCACCCCUCCACAACCUUGAAUGAACACACCUUAACCCUCCAGUAACGGACCUCGAAACCACCAUGAACGUCUUGGAUUCUCCUCUUGAAGCUUUGGCUAUUAAUUAUGUGAGCUUUGGGAUCUUCACCGUCGUCAAUAAUCUAUGGACAUGGGUGGCACUUAUAACGGCGGUUGUCAGCUUCUGGAAAAUCAGAAACGCCGGUGUCGCUGGAGCCUCCACAUUCUCCUUGAAAUCGGAGCAACUUUCUUCAGCUAAUUGCAUUGACGUCCGGAACGUAAAUGAGCCUAAACCGGUUGUCGAAACAUCCGUACCCGAGUCAGCUAUUCAGCCACCGCCGUCACCACCACCAUCAUCUGCAAGCCCAGCUACAUUUUCAUCUGUUUUUGAAGAUGACGGAGUUACGAGAGGGAAGUUUGUAAAGUAUUACGUAGAUGAAAGAGAGAGUGAUGAUAACGGAGACGAUGAGUUAACGGUGGUUGGAGAGUGGGGAUAUGGAAACAGAGGUUGUGGAGAGUGGUCGGAGAGCUGGGAGAGAGUGUUAAGGAUGAGAACGGGGGACAUGGGAUGGUACAUGUACCAGGAUUUGACGGCGAUUAACGGCAACGUCGUUAGGUUAUGGGAUGGGAUUAGGAGGAGGAGAAGUCAGGCUGUGGUGUAUGGUAACUGGUAGGCGAUUAUACACAGAAGCUUUUUUCUGGCUUCUGGAUUAAAGUUUAUAAAUGUAAAUAUAUAUUGUCGGAUUGAGCAAACCUUGUGUAGCAAAAUAACGCUAAAUGUUGCAUUUAUUGUUAUGCUAUUGACAUUUGGGUUCAGAAAAAUUCUGAAAAUCAUGUAUUUAAUAGACAAUCACAUUAUAU